UCCACUUCAGACACGUGGGUCCCAUGCUU
rnacentral:piRNA from 1 species